UGGGGAAUGGUGUAAUUGGCAACACAACUGGUUCUGGUCCAGUUAUUCAGGGUUCGAGUCCUUGUUCCCCAACCA
rnacentral:tRNA from 1 species